CCUAGGGGGUACUGUUUUGGGGUUGUAUUGGAUGAGUUAAGUAUAAACCCCUUUACAAGUAUCAAUUGGAGGGCAAGUCUGGUGCCAGCAGCCGCGGUAAUUCCAGCUCCAAUAGCGUAUAUUAAAGUUGUUGCAGUUAAAAAGCUCGUAGUUGGAUUUCUGUUAAUAAUUUAUAUAAAAUAUUUUGAUGAAUAUUUAUAUAAUAUUAACAUAAUUCAUAUUACUAUAUAUUUUAGUAUAUGAAAUUUUACUUUGAGAAAAUUAGAGUGCUUAAAGCAGGCAUAUGCCUUGAAUACUCCAGCAUGGAAUAAUAUUAAAGAUUUUUAUCUUUCUUAUUGGUUCUAAGAUAAGAAUAAUGAUUAAUAGGGACAGUUGGGGGCAUUUGUAUUUAACAGUCAGAGGUGAAAUUCUUAGAUUUGUUAAAGACAAACUAAUGCGAAAGCAUUUGCCAAGGAUGUUUUCAUUAAUCAAGAACGAAAGUUAGGGGAUCGAAGACGAUCAGAUACCGUCGUAGUCUUAACCAUAAACUAUGCCAACUAGAGAUUGGAGGUUGUUCCUUACUCCUUGAA
rnacentral:rRNA from 1 species